rnacentral:piRNA from 1 species
UGAUGCAAUGCUUUCAGGAGCUCAAGCUGAU